rnacentral:rRNA from 1 species
UACAGAGGUCUCAACCGUUGUUCGGAUUCAUUGGGCGUAAAGGGUGCGUAGGUGGCGCUGCAAGUCGGUGGUGAAAGCUCGUCGCUUAACGACGAGUCGGCCAUCGAAACUGCGGGGCUGGAGCACUGUAGGGGCAGAUGGAAUUCCGGGUGUAGCGGUGGAAUGCGCAGAUAUCAGGAGGAACACCAGUGGCGAAGGCGGCUCACUGGCCCGGUACUGACGCUGAGGUGCGAAAGUGUGGGGAGCGAACAGG